GGAUGCAGGUAAAUGUUAACAAUAAUUCAUUUUCUGGUCAUUUUAAAUUUACUUUUUAGAAUUUUAUAAUGUAAAUGUAAAAUACCAUAUCUUCCACCUAUGUCUUCUCUUCAGCUCUUUUAGGUUGUAAUCAUACAUUCCUCAAAUGUGAUCUUUUUCAGUGUUGACCCCAUCACUGCCUUCCGUAUGCCACCACCAAUGGGGAGGAGCGAAAAGGACCACUAGCAAAUUAACAUCUGCCAUGUAGUGGAGGUUCCAGAGAAAAAGUGAGAGAAGCUGAGUCUGCACCCUCAUCAUGAAGGAAAUAAACUCCCUUAGGACCAAGAACAGAGGACAGAGGAAGGACUCCAACAUGAUGGGCACCAAGGAAUUUUGGUCCUUCUGAGAAAGAGGAGGGAGGACAAUGCGUAACACGAGGAACGCAGAUGACUGUUGACACCUGACCCAGGCCAUCCAGUUAUUAGAACCCAUCUGCACCGCUUCACGGGAUGCAGUGG